AUGAUGCCCAACAAUCCUUCCCACUACCUCUAUACAUCAAUUCUCACAUGUUCCCCUCUUUUCUUCAAUCCUCCCUCUUUUGCAUCCCUUUACUUUCACUCCUCCCUCUUUUUCUUCCCCUUUACUUUCACUCCUCCCUUUUUCCAUUCCUUUACUUUCACUCCUCCCUCUUUUUCUUCCCCUUUACUUUCACUCCUCCCUCUUUUCCAUCCCUUUACUUUCACUCCUCCCUUUUUCUUCCCCUUUACUUUCACUCCUCCCUCUUUUCUUCCCCUUUACUUUCACUCCUCCCUCUUUUCCAUCCCUUUACUUUCACUCCUCCCUCUUUUUCUUCCCCUUUACUUUCACUCCUCCCUCUUUUUCCAUCCCUUUACUUUCACUCCUCCCUCUUUUUCUUCCCCUUUACUUACACUCCUCCCUCUUUUUCCAUCCCUUUACUUUCACUCCUCCCUCUUUUUCUUCCCCUUUACUUUCACUCCUCCCUCUUUUCCAUCCCUUUACUUUCACUCCUCCCUCUUUUUCUUCCCCUUUACUUUCACUCCUCCCUCUUUUCCAUCCCUUUACUUUCACUCCUCCCUCUUUUCCAUCCCUUUACUUUCACUCCUCCCUCUUUUCUUCCCCUUUACUUUCACUCCCCCUCUUUUUCCAUCCCUUUACUUUCACUCCUCCCUCUUUUUCUUCCCCCUUUACUUACACUCCUCCCUCUUUUUCUUCCCCUUUACUUACACUCCUCCCUCUUUUCUUCCCCUUUACUUUCACUCCUCCCUCUUUUUCUUCCCCUUUACUUUCACUCCUCCCUCUUUUUGCCAUCCCUUUACUUUCACUCCUCCCUCUUUUUCUUCCCCUUUACUUUCACUCCUCCCUCUUUUUCCAUCCCUUUACUUUCACUCCUCCUCUUUUUCUUCCCCUUUACUUUCACUCCUCCCUCUUUUUCCAUCCCUUUACUUUCACUCCUCCCUCUUUUCUUCCCCUUUACUUUCACUCCUCCCUCUUUUUCCAUCCCUUUACUUUCACUCCUCCCUCUUUUCUUCCCCUUUACUUUCACUCCUCCCUCUUUUCCAUCCCUUUACUUUUGCUGAUCCACAUGAUUUUCUGACUAUAUUAAACAAUUGUGAUUACUGA
ensembl:lncRNA